rnacentral:lncRNA from 1 species
AAGAACGCGUCCAGACGGCUGUUCGUGCGCCCGGGGAAGCCGGAUCGCGCGGGGCUUGCCAUGCGACACCCGCGACCAGGCAGAGUAUCCUGGGUGGCUGCGACUCCACGACACCCAGUGGAACCCGCGCGCGCCACAAAGCCGCGCGCCUGCCGCCUCUGCCACCAGCGCGUCCCGGUGCCCGGAGCCGGACCUUGCUUCAGGAACCAGCUCCGGAGUCGUGUUCCCCGAGCCCCCUGCCCCGCCCGGUCCCGCCCCUAAACUUCGUCCUCACCUACACAGCGAUGGGCGGAGCAAGACUAAAGUGUUGAUUGACAAGGAGAAGUACUCAAGGGUCUGGGAAGAAAUACGGCCCCUUUUCAGCUACUGAGCCACAUGGUCACAUUAAAAACUCCACUGAUAACGGAGGCCGGUUUGAAUCUGAUUUCCUGUUAAAGAGAAACUUGAAACCGAUGGGAUUUUGCGGAGUUGAGAAUCCUAUAAUUACCAUAACACUGCCUGCUGUGACUUUCAAGCUUUGUCUUAGAGGCAGGAGUCUCCAAAGACCCUUACAAACUGUUUUGGUAACUCAAGCCAUACAAGCCGUGCGUCUGUGUCCCCGAUGCCUAGAACGAUGCGGAAAAUGAAUGCCAGGUGGAAGGGCCCUCUGGAAGCCGAUGGGUUGAAGGAUGUGAUUAUGUAACCUUAGAGAUGCAGAGCAAUAAAGGGGUUGCUUCACGUUUGCGAGCUGGCCAGGAAUAACGCUGUAUGUUAGGUUGGCGUGCUAGGAAGCACAAUAGAAACUUGCCCUAGGUGUGCGCUUCCAUUUUUAUUUCAAACCCCGGAAAACCCAUCUUUCUCCCCCUUCCCACUCAUAGAAAGACCCGAGGAUGGAGCUGGCCCACAUUUGUAGGUCCAGGAUUCCAGAGACAGGCCUGAGGACAAGCCAUAAACUGGAGGUCUACCUUUGUUAAUCUAGUGAGUUCUGGGAUGCACGGCAAAACCCUGUCUCAAAAGUAAAUUCAUGGAGAUGAUACAAUGAAACUAUAUUAUUCCUCUAUUUGCUAACAGACCUCAAUAAAGUCUGAUGUUCCUU